rnacentral:misc_RNA from 1 species
GCAGAAGGAUCAUUAGUGAAGAUUUGGGCAGGCCAUACGGACGCCACAAAGUGUCCCUGGCCGCCUACACCCACUAUACAUCCACAAACCCGUGUGCACUGUCCUUGGAAAGGGCAUUUGGAGAGAAAAAGGAAGAGAAGCGAGAACAGUGCGAUCCGUCGCGUUGGGCGUUGAUCUCUGACUUGGUCUCUCUGAGGCCCUUUCCUCGCUACAAACUCGAAUGGUUAGUAUGAACGUGGAACUUGGUUGGACCGUCACUGGCCAACAAACUAUACACAACUUUCGACAACGGAUCUCUUGGUUCUCCCA